rnacentral:tRNA from 2 species
GGGCGAGUAGCUCAGUCGGUAGAGCAGACGGCUCUUAACCGUAAGGUCCCGGGUUCGACCCCCGGCUCGCCCACCA